rnacentral:sRNA from 1 species
GCCUCCUCCCUCUGGCCUGGGUGUGUGUCCCCAGGGCCCCUGUGAGUGCUGAAGUUUCCCCACUGUGGGUCCCCAGAGCUGUCUCUGCCUGGCAUGGAGCCCCCCGUGCUGUGGCCGCCCUGAGCAGCAGCGGCUAGCGGCAGGCUAUGGUGAUGGCUCCCUGCGCAUCUUCAGCGUCUCCCGCACGGCCAUGGAGCUCAAGAUGCACCCCCACCCGGUGGCACUGACCGCUGUUGCCUUCUCCACCGAUGGUCAGACUGUCCUCUCUGGAGACAAGGAUGGGCUCGUGGCUGUGAGCCACCCCCGCACAGGGACCACCUUCCGUGUGCUGAGUGACCACCAGGGCGCCCCAAUCUCUACCAUCUGUGUCACGUGCAAAGAGGUAAAGCAGCC